UACCAAAACAUGUAAAUAUCUUCCUAGACAAAGAUAUUUGUUUGACUAUUCUUACUGGUAUACUUUUUUUUUGGUCUCAAAAUGCAUAUUUAUCUUUGAACAACUAUGAAAAUCUAAAUAGUUACAAGUCUAUCUGCACAACUACAGUUACCAAUAAUACUAUAUGUAAAAGAUGGCUUUUUAAAAAUUAAUAUUAAUUAAACCUCUCCACAAUGUGAACUAAAUAAUUCUUAUACCACAGCUGUAUUCAUGAAAGUGUAGUGUCUACAUUUUUUUAAACUAGAUCUAAUUGUGGACUAAAAAAGAAUCAUUUUCAAACAGUUUUGUCCAAAUAUAUAUCAAAUAUAUAUAUAUACAUAUAUAUAUAUAUGUAUAU